GACGAACGCUGGCGGCGUGCCUAAUACAUGCAAGUCGAACGCUUCUUUCCUCCCGAGUGCUUGCACUCAAUUGCAAAGAGGAGUGGCGGACGGGUGAGUAACACGUGGGUAACCUACCCAUCAGAGGGGGAUAACACUUGGAAACAGGUGCUAAUACCGCAUAACAGUUUAUGCCGCAUGGCAUAAGAGUGAAAGGCGCUUUCGGGUGUCGCUGAUGGAUGGACCCGCGGUGCAUUAGCUAGUUGGUGAGGUAACGGCUCACCAAGGCCACGAUGCAUAGCCGACCUGAGAGGGUGAUCGGCCACACUGGGACUGAGACACGGCCCAGACUCCUACGGGAGGCAGCAGUAGGGAAUCUUCGGCAAUGGACGAAAGUCUGACCGAGCAACGCCGCGUGAGUGAAGAAGGUUUUCGGAUCGUAAAACUCUGUUGUUAGAGAAGAACAAGGACGUUAGUAACUGAACGUCCCCUGACGGUAUCUAACCAGAAAGCCACGGCUAACUACGU
rnacentral:rRNA from 1 species